rnacentral:lncRNA from 1 species
CUUUACCUUCUCAGUGCCUGUGAUUCUGGCUCUUUUUAGUUGGUUUUAAUGACCUUUUGUUAAGUAGUCUAAUACGUUUUCUUGUUUUGUAUAUUGUGCUAUUCUUACCAUGCUAUGCAAAGACCACAAGAAGAGGUGCCAUUAUGAUAUAACUCUUAUAUACACAGGUAAGAGAACAUUUUUCCAAAAAGUCUGUAACGUGAAGUGUGAGUGUUACCUUUGUUCCUUGAGCUGUCGGAUGACCUUGUCCCAGUUAAGCAUGAAUCCUUGA